CAGUAGCCGCGGUAAUACGAAGGGGGCUAGCGUUGCUCGGAAUGACUGGGCGUAAAGGGCGCGUAGGCGGAUGGCACAGUCAGAUGUGAAAUUCCCGGGCUUAACCUGGGGGCUGCAUUUGAUACGUGUUGUCUAGAGUGAGGAAGAGGGUUGUGGAAUUCCCAGUGUAGAGGUGAAAUUCGUAGAUAUUGGGAAGAACACCGGUGGCGAAGGCGGCAACCUGGUCCUUGACUGACGCUGAGGCGCGAAAGCGUGGGGAGCAAACAGGAUUAGAUACCCCAGUAGUCCCUGUCUCUUAUAC
rnacentral:rRNA from 1 species